UGGGGAAUAUUGCACAAUGGGGGAAACCCUGAUGCAGCAACGCCGCGUGAAGGAUGAAGGUUUUCGGAUCGUAAACUUCUAUCAAUAGGGACGAAACAAAUGACGGUACCUAAAUAAGAAGCCCCGGCUAACUACGUGCCAGCAGCCGCGGUAAUACGUAGGGGGCAAGCGUUAUCCGGAAUUACUGGGUGUAAAGGGAGCGUAGGCGGCAUGUCAAGCCAGAUGUGAAAGCCCGGGGCUUAACCCCGUGGAUUGCAUUUGGAACUGGCAAGCUAGAGUACAGGAGAGGAAAGCGGAAUUCCUAGUGUAGCGGUGAAAUGCGUAGAUAUUAGGAAGAACACCAGUGGCGAAGGCGGCUUUCUGGACUGAAACUGACGCUGAGGCUCGAAAGCGUGGGGAGCAAACAGG
rnacentral:rRNA from 1 species